AUUGAACGCUGGCGGCAUGCUUUACACAUGCAAGUCGAACGGUAACAGGCCGCAAGGUGCUGACAAGUGGCGAACGGGUGAGUAAUGCAUCGGAACGUGCCCAGUCGUGGGGGAUAACUGCUCGAAAGAGCAGCUAAUACCGCAUACGAUCUAUGGAUGAAAGCGGGGGACCGUAAGGCCUCGCGCGAUUGGAGCGGCCGAUGUCCGAUUAGGUAGUUGGUGGGGUAACGGCUCACCAAGCCAACGAUCUGUAGCUGGUCUGAGAGGACGACCAGCCACGCUAGGACUGAGACACGGCCCAGACUCCUACGGGAGGCAGCAGUGGGGAAUUUUGGACAAUGGGGGCAACCCUGAUCCAGCAAUGCCGCGUGCAGGAAGAAGGCCUUCGGGUUGUAAACUGCUUUUGUACGGAACGAAACGGUCUGGGUUAAUACCCUGGGCUAAUGACGGUACCGUAAGAAUAAGCACCGGCUAACUACGUGCCAGCCGCCGCCGUAAGAC
rnacentral:rRNA from 1 species